GACGUAGGGCGCGAGCGUUGUCCGGAAUUAUUGGGCGUAAAGAGCUCGUAGGCGGUCUGUCGCGUCGGCUGUGAAAACCUGGGGCUCAACUCCGGGCCUGCAGCCGAUACGGGCUGACUAGAAUUCGGUAGGGGAGACUGGAAUUCCUGGUGUAGCGGUGAAAUGCGCAGAUAUCAGGAGGAACACCGGUGGCGAAGGCGGGUCUCUGGGCCGAUAUUGACGCUGAGGAGCGAAAGCGUGGGGAGCAAACAGG
rnacentral:rRNA from 1 species